AUUGAACGCUGGCGGCAGGCCUAACACAUGCAAGUCGAGCGGAUGAAGGGAGCUUGCUCCUGGAUUCAGCGGCGGACGGGUGAGUAAUGCCUAGGAAUCUGCCUGGUAGUGGGGGAUAACGUCCGGAAACGGGCGCUAAUACCGCAUACGUCCUGAGGGAGAAAGUGGGGGAUCUUCGGACCUCACGCUAUCAGAUGAGCCUAGGUCGGAUUAGCUAGUUGGUGGGAUAAAGGCCUACCAAGGCGACGAUCCGUAACUGGUCUGAGAGGAUGAUCAGGCACACUGGAACUGAGACACGGUACAGACUCCUACGGGAGGCAGCAGUGGGGAAUAUUGGACGAUGGGCGAAAGCCUGAUCCAGCCAUGCCGCGUGUGUGAAGAAGGUCUUCGGAUUGUAAAGCACUUUAAGUUGGGAGGAAGGGCAGUAAGUUAAUACCUUGCUGUUUUGACGUUACCAACAGAAUAAGCACCGGCUAACUUCGUG
rnacentral:rRNA from 1 species